rnacentral:lncRNA from 1 species
GCUGUUUUAAGUAGACCAACUUUGUGCACGUCAGAUACAAGAAGAGCGCUGAGGAAGAGAGGAUGCAUAACUGAAACACAUGAUCAAAUAACGUUUGUAAACACUUUUACCUGAUGCAGGUUGUGCGCAGUUGUUAUACAUUCAGCAGUAAAUCAACGACAGGUGUGGGUGUGCAGUAAGCAGCUUAUUUCCCAACCGUGAGGUCUUGGGGUUAGUCCCACUGCGCCGCACCUUCUACUAAAACCCCGAGCCGAACAAAGACUUGUGAGUGGAUUUGAUUGACGGAAACUAAAAGAAGCUUGUCGUGCAUAUGUGUGUGUAGGUGU